rnacentral:rRNA from 1 species
AAAUAGCACCGUAUCUUCGGUAUAAGGUGUGCCUACUUUGGUAUAUGAACUUGCUUCAAAAAAGCUAGAGAGGUUGCAACAAAGAGUCCCUCCCGACUGUUUACCAAAAACACAGCACUUUGCUAACACGUAAGUGGAUGUAUAAGGUGUGACGCCUGCCCGGUGCUCGAAGGUUAAUUGAUGAUGUCAGCGCAAGCGAAGCAUUUGAUCGAAGCCCGAGUAAACGGCGGCCGUAACAAUAACGGUCCUAAGGUAGCGAAAUUCCUUGUCAGUUAAAUACUGACCUGCAUGAAUGGCGUAACGAGAUGGGAGCUGUCUCAAAGAGGGAUCCAGUGAAAUUGUAGUGGAGGUGAAAAUUCCUCCUACCCGCGGAAAGACGGAAAGACCCCGUGCACCUUUACUACAGCUUGACACUGUAGCUUGGAUAUUCAUGUGCAGGAUAGGUGGGAGGCUAUGAUGACUAGACGCAAGUAGAGUCGGAGCCAUCCUUGAGAUACCACCCUUGAAUAUUU